CCCAACUAUCCCUAUUAAUCAUUACGGUGAUCCUAGAAACCAACAAAAUAGAACCAAGCCGUCCUAUUUUAUUAUUCCAUGCUAAUCUAUUCAAGCACUAGCCUGCUUUAAGCACUCUAAUUUUUUCAAGGUAAUAGAUCUGCUUCCCCAACGCACUAAAUUAAUAGCAUGCUGGUUAUUCAGAAGGUAAGAAUUCAUCAAAUCAGUACGAACAGUGAAGCUCGACCAAUUGACAAAUUCCGAAAUUCAAC
rnacentral:rRNA from 1 species